GCCCUGUUCUUUUAUGUUUUUAUCUCCUUGAAUUGCACGUAUAUAAUAAAGAUAUUGCCUCCAAAAACUCAAAUUCUUAAAAAUUUGUGCUCAUUUUGUAUAUACAAAUCAGUUCUCUUUCUUUGUGGUGCCAGAUGAGUGAUUCAUUGAGAGCAUCCUUGAACAACUAAAAUUCACCUACUCAGUAAUUUUUGGGUUGUUCUCGGUCUCCUCCUGCUAUUAUUAUGAACCGUCCAACCUUCUGACAUCCUUCAAUGCAAUGCGAUGUGACUUCGAUGGCUGCGUUCCGGCUUAACUUGGCAACAUUAUGACCC
rnacentral:lncRNA from 1 species